rnacentral:rRNA from 1 species
AUUGAACGCUGGCGGCAGGCCUAACACAUGCAAGUCGAACGAGUGGCGGACGGGUGAGUAAUGUAUGGGAAACUGCCUGAUGGAGGGGGAUAACUACUGGAAACGGUAGCUAAUACCGCAUACCAUCGGAUGUGCCCAGCUGGGAUUAGCUAGUAGGUGGGGUAACGGCUCACCUAGGCGACGAUCCCUAGCUGGUCUGAGAGGAUGACCAGCCACACUGGAACUGAGACACGGUCCAGACUCCUACGGGAGGCAGCAGUGGGGAAUAUUGCACAAUGGGCGAAAGCCUGAUGCAGCCAUGCCGCGUGUAGGAAGAAGGCCGUCGGGUUGUAAAGUACUUUCAGCGGGGAGGCGUUACCCGCAGAAGAAGCACCGGCUAACUACGUGCCAGCAGCCGCGGUAAUUC